ACAUAUCUGCAGUGUUUGUUUGCUGCAAGUAACAAACAAAAUAAUCCCAAAUCAAAUAAUGGGAACUAAAGUUUAUAAAGAAAAUGCUACAUUCACCAAAGGUGAUUAUGGUAAAAUAAAAUGAAAAUGGAAGAAAAAAAGGGUUAAUGAAUUUGAUUGUUUUGUUUUUGUAGGAUUUCAGUAUGGGAUUUUGCAUUAAGAUUCAAAGCCAAACGAAAUGAAGAUGAAUCUUACUAUUAUUUUCUCAAUAUGGGAUUUUGCAUUUUGGCACAAUUAAGAGAUGGCAUGGUACAUAAUGAAACACCAACUCAAUUUAAUUCAUCUUGCUAUAUUCUCUAAGCCUUUGGGUUCAGAAACUACAGAACAUUCUUAUCCAAAAUCAUAACUUGUGCAAUUGAAAGUUUUCCUUACAGGCAGGACAUUUUUGUAAGAAUCAAAAUCACAACUUGUGCAAUUAUGUUAUUGUACAUACUAAACCCCAAAUCAAUGUAAUGAAAAGUAGAUUGAAUUGCCAAAAUAGAGAAGCUCAACCCUGAUAAAUUGGAGCUACAUCUAAGUAAGAAGCAUGAAAGAAAAACAAAUGGAGGAGCCCCUAACCCCUACCCAAGAAAAAAGAGCCUAAAAGAACUAAAAAUCAGACAGAAGGACCCUUUCAGACCAAGUUCCGAUCAAGUCAAAGGUUUAAUCACAUAACAUCUCCCCCCACUUGCAUUAGCUCCAUCUGUGAUUGCACGAAUAAAAAGCCAUUUCAUAUAUGACGCAUACUUGCAUGCUUGGAUCCGGCCAUUUGAAUGG
rnacentral:misc_RNA from 1 species